rnacentral:rRNA from 1 species
CAGUCGCCGCGGUAAUACGAAGGGGGCUAGCGUUGUUCGGAAUUACUGGGCGUAAAGCGCACGUAGGCUGACAUUUAAGUCAGGGGUGAAAUCCCGGGGCUCAACCUUGGAACUGCCUUUGAUACUGGGUGUCUUGAGUGUGGAAGAGGUAAGUGGAAUUGCGAGUGUAGAGGUGAAAUUCGUAGAUAUUCGCAGGAACACCAGUGGCGAAGGCGGCUUACUGGUCCACAACUGACGCUGAGGUGCGAAAGCGUGGGGAGCAAACAGGAUUAGAUACCCCGGUAGUCCCUGUCUCUUAUAC